rnacentral:rRNA from 1 species
GACAAACAGAUUAAGCUAAAAUUAGCAUAGUAAAAAAGAAGGUUAGAGAAAUUUACUGCGAAGAAAUUCCAGUGUUAGAAAAGAGAAAUGAUGUCUUUUGUGGAGGUGGAAUUUGUGCAAAAGAAGGUGAUUUGUUGUUUUCUUGUUCUUGAGGCCUUGAAAUCUCAUUAAGAAACCGGGAUUAGAUACCCCGUUAUUUGAGAUGUAAAAUUUGAUUAUUAGAUAAUUUACUUGAGUAUUACGAGUUGUGAAAUAUCGGUUUACACAAAGAUCUUAAAACUCAAAAGACUUGGCGGUAUCUUAGGUCCUUCUAGGGGAACCUGUCCUGUAAUCGAUAGUCCACGAUUUAUCUUUCCUUUCCUUGAAAAUACUCAGCUUGUAUACCGUCGUCGUCAGAUUACCUUUAAGAGUUAAAUAAGUUAUCAGAAAGAAUAUUAUUUUUAGUAUUUGUCUUAACUUAAUCAGUUGGGGUUGAAUGUAAAAAAUAAUUUUCUAGAUGUCAGAUCAAGGUGCAGCCUAUGGAAAGGUAGAGAUGGGUUACAAUAAUUAUUUAUUAUUUACGGAUUUCUUAUUGAAAUUAUAAGAACUAAAGGCGGACUUAGAAGUAAUUAAUAAGAGAAAUAGAAAGUUUCGGUGAAAAUGGCACUAAGAUGUGC